UCUUUGUGGCCCGCGCGCGGUGACUACACACUGCCCAGGAACGGAAUAUCAAAUCUUAAUGGCUAAUGGCAUCAACAUUCAUAACCGCCUACGUGUCCAUCAAGUCCGGGGAAUCCGUGCAUAAACAUAAUGGGAACUGCUAGCCGUACAGAUACACAAACGCCGGCAUCGGCGUAUUUAUGCCGCUGCAAACGAUCCCUGAUUUGUGCGCGUCGGCGUUGAUGAUCAUCAUUUUCCUGUCGGGCGGGAACUGUGCAGGGUACUUAUUUUCAAACCCAGGUUGCAAUGCCGUCUGAAUGCAGCACCAGUUUGUUUGACUUUCGGAUGCCGGUUACUUGGAAAUUUUUGUGAAUUUUUAUUCGGCAGAUGUUGGUGAUGCGUAUUUUUGGAAAUGUAUUCCGUGCUUCUGAAUGCACUGACUGCCGGCUUCGCCGAACUGACUUCCGUUGAUGAUGGCCUUCACAAUCGUGUGUCUGUGCGGAGAGAAUUUCUGGCAGCUGCGUGCAUGCAGCACCGACGUCAUCUUCGAUCGGCUUCUGUGGAAUGAAUGCCGCAGCUAGGUCAGCGCACGAUCGCGUUCACCAAAAUCCAAAGUUAGAAUCCAUACGGCGUACACAGCCAUUUUCAUGCCGGAAUCGAUGGCCGUCGACCAAUUGGACAGACUGCAGAGAUAUGAAAGAGACAGCACAAAUGCGUAUAAUGAUUGAGCAAAGAGAUGGGAUCAACAAGACCGUUUACGCAGCCAAGGAACCGGUUCAGUUUAGCAAACAAGGACCAGAAAAGGUGUAAAUCAAGAAAUUCAUAAUUUCCUUUGACACCGAAGCUGUAACCUUCUCUACUUGAACAGGUUCCUCGAUUUUAUCGUUGCCGUCUGUAAAUUAUGGAGGAGAAAUCUGAGCGAUUUACUGGUCACCAAUGCGCGGAGUGAAACUUUCCGUGCAUGGAUUCUUCAGCGUACACAACACAGCCAGAGUGCAGCGCUCGAUCCGCUCAACUCCAACCAGCCUCAGCAUAACUCCAAACAUCGAAGCCAAGGGAUAAAGUCAUGUCAAACCGGGCAAAAGCGACGAGGGAUGUUUGAGAGGAGAAUGUGAUUAAUGACCAAAGUCAUCAUCAUUUCCAGUUGCUCCUACGGCACAUAUAUACGCUUUCUAUAUCGCCCGACAUGAAUGGCCGCAGCCACGAACAGCAACUCAGCUGGAAUCGCCGAUUCCCAAAUAUGCAUAUUCUGCAUAACAAAAUAUCACAUGGCAUCUGCGGAUGUGUAUGUACAGUUGCGAACAGCAUGUCCGAGACCGGUGUGCGCAUGCAGUGCACGAAUUCCCAGUGCCGGACUCUAAUGACAUGUACACUUAAUUUCGCACAGUACUCACUUGUCGUCAACUCCCGCUCCAUGCCAUGUUGCCCACUGCGCCGGCAGAGGAGCUAAUUUAUUUAUACCGUGCCCUUUCCUUUUGACGCACCCGACCUCUGCUGACAAAAACGCGUCCAGAGGAAAGUGACCAGAACGGACACUGGAAAUGAGCAUCUGGAGGAGUGUGAAUAGGCUUCGUUUAUGUAUAUUGUUAAAUAAAGUGUUUGUUUCUAUUUCCGGCAACAUUGCAGUACCAACUUGCGUGCCUGGUCGCUGGUCAUACUAUGAAAUCCUCCCAUUGGUCUUGUAAUUAAUCAAAAUUAUUAGAUGCCAUCAUGUCCAGACGACUUUCACUAUUAGAAAAUUCAAUUAAUAUUAAUUAGAAUUUUGAGACAUCAGAAUACCAAUUUGGCUACACGGUAUACAUAUCUGUAG